AUGUCUUUUUCUAUCGUCUAUCAUAUUUUAUUAAUUUGAUAAUUCCAUUACUUUUUCACCUAAAACACUUCUUCAGCUUUUAGCUUUGUUGUUGCUUACUGAAAAUUUCUCUCACCAUGGGGAAUCUCUUUUCUUGCCAAUGUUCUGGUGAUGCAGUGUUGGAUCGUAUCAUUAGAUGUUUAUCUGAUAAAGGUUAUAUUCCAAACCUCAAGAAGAAUCUCAGGGCUUUGGAGAGGGAAAUGGAAGAUCUCAGAGCAAUAAAAGAUGAGGUGCAGAACAAGGUAGCGAGAGAGGAGACACGCCAUCAACAAAGGCUUAAAGCUGUCCAGGUAUGGCUUGACCGUGUCGAUAGCAUUGAUAUAAAGUGCAAAGAUUUACUUAGUAUCGGGCCCGUUGAGCUUCAAAAGUUGUGUCUCUGCGGUUUAUGUUCAAAAAAUGUAUUUUCAAGCUACAAGUAUGGGAAAAGGGUUUUCUUGUUAUUGGAAGAGGUUAGAACGCUCAACUCGGAGGGUAAAUUUGACGAGGUUGCUCAGCCGCCUCCAAGAUCUGAAUUUGAGGAGAGACCUACUCAGCAUACGAUUGGUCAUGAAGAAAUGCUCGCGAAGACAUGGAACCGCCUUAUGGAAGAUGGAGUCGGAAUCAUGGGUCUGCACGGUAUGGGUGGUGUGGGUAAAACUACCCUUUUCAAGAAAAUCCACAAUAAGUUUGAUGAAAUACCUGGUACGUUUGAUGUUGUGAUAUGGAUCGUGGUGUCUCAAGGCGCAACGACAUCAAAGCUUCAAGAAGAUAUUGCACAGAAGCUACUCCUUUGUGGGGACGAGUGGAAGAACAAAAAUGAAUGUGAUAAGGCCGCUAAGUUACACACUGUUUUAAAGGGGAAGAGAUUUGUUUUGAUGCUAGAUGAUAUAUGGGAGGAAGUGGAUUUAGAAGCCAUUGGAAUUCCGUUUCCAACCAGAGAAAAUGGAUGCAAAGUAGCAUUCACCACUCGUUCCCGGGAAGUAUGUGGACGGAUGGGGGACCAUGAACCAAUGCAAGUCAAAUGUUUGAAACAAGAUGAAGCAUGGGAAUUGUUUAAAACCAAGGUCGGAGACAAUACCUUAACUAGAGAUCCUGGCAUUGUCAAGCUUGCAAGAAAGGUCACUGAAAAAUGCGGUGGUCUGCCACUGGCGCUUAAUAUCAUUGGCAAGGCAAUGGCAUCUAAAAAUACAGUACAAGAAUGGGAGCAUGCCAUCAAUGUUCUAACUAAAUCUGCUGCAGAGUUUUCUGACAUAAAAAAUAAAAUUCUUCCGGUUCUCAAGUUCAGCUAUGAUAGCUUGGGGGAUCAACAAUUACAGUCUUGUUUCUUGUAUUGUGCUCUGUUUCCAGAAGAUCAUCAGAUACCUAUAAAAGACUUAAUACACUUAUGGAUAUGCGAGGGAUUCCUUGGGGAAUACCAAGUUAUAAAAGAAGUGUAUAAUAAGGGUUAUGCAAUGCUUGGUACAAUUAUCCGUGCAAAUUUAAUAACAGAGGUUGGUACAGCAGUAGUUGUAAUGCAUGACGUGGUUCGUGAAAUGGCUCUGUGGAUUGCAUCUGAAUUUGGGAAACAGAAAGAUAAUUUCGUUGUGCAAGCAGACGUUGGAUUAGUUGAAAUACCAAAAGUAAAAGAUUGGGGAGCUGUGAGAAGGAUGUCUUUAAUGGAAAAUGAGAUUGAAGAGAUAAGAUGCAGUUCCAAGUGUUGUGAACUUACAACUCUGUUCCUCCAAGGAAAUAGAUUGAAGAAUUUCUCAGGUGAAUUCCUUCAGUCUAUGCAAAAGCUAGUCGUUUUGGAUUUAUCAAAAAAUUACGAUUUGAGCGAACUUCCAGAGCAGAUAUCAGAGCUGGUCUCCUUGCAGUUUCUUGAUUUGUCGGAAACAUGUAUAGAGCAACUGCCGGUUGGUCUCCAAGAGUUGAAAAAGCUAACUCACUUGAAUUUACAUUCUACAAAGAAACUUUGUAGCAUAAGUGGGAUAUCUACAUGGUUGCUGAGCUUAAAAUGGUUGAGUCUGGUAAAGUCUAAUGUUCAUGGAGAUGUUAGUUUAUUUAGGGAGUUGAAGCUUUUGAAGAAUCUACAAGAGCUAGACAUAACGGUUUCAGCGGAGUUAAGUUUGGAGCAUAUACUAUCAGGGGAUCAAAGGUUGGCAAACUGCGUAAUUGCUCUAGAGAUUAUUGAUUUUCAAGAAAAGCCACUCGAUUUAUCAUCCCUGAAGAGAAUUGAGAAUCUGACAGUCCUAACGGUGGAAAGUAGUCAUGUCUCGGAGAUUAACAAUCCGACAAUUCCAUGCUUUACCAACCUCUCAUACAUGGAAAUAAACAAGUGCCAUAGCAUGAAGGAUCUGACUUGGCUAUUGUUUGCUCCAAAUCUUGUCACCCUACUGAUUAGAGAUUCAAGAGAAGUGGAAGAAAUAUUAAAUAAAGAGAAAGCAACCAAUUUCAAAGGUAUUACCCCAUUUCUGAAACUAGAAUACUUAAUUGUGAAAAAUUUGCCAAAGCUUGAGAGUAUCUGCGGGACUCCUCUCCCCUUUCCGGUUUUGAGGCGCAUAGGUGUAUUGGAUUGUCCAAAGCUGAGAAAGCUGCCCUUAAAUGCUACAAGUGUCCCACUACUUGAUGAAUUUGGAAUAAGUAUGUAUCAUCCAAAACAGAUAAAUGAGCUUGAAUGGAAGGACGAAGAUACCAAAAAUCGAUUCUUGCCUUCAAUCAACCGGGGAUUGGCCAUUUUCUAAAGAUUCAUACUCAGGAUUGGGAAUCCUCCCUGUCUGGCUAAAACCAGAAUCCUCACACUUCUGCUUCUACUACUUUAGAUUGUUCUCUCUUUCUUCCUCUUCUAGUGUUUGUGUGUGUUGUUAAUUUGGAUUUAAUGUUAUUCAUUUUCAUAUUGUAUUUCUUAUUGGAUUUUACGUUUGGGAUUUGAGCUUUGUAUCUUCUGCUCUUUCAUCUUGCAGCGUGCAUGUUUGUUUGUGUUAUUCAUUCAUUUGGGCGAUGGUUAUUUUUGUUAUAUGUCAUGUGUCUAAGUUCUUAUGUUCGAUUCAAGACAUGCCAGGUGAAGAAGGCCUUUGUUCGAAUUUCGCUGAGAGUAUCAGAGGGAUAUUAAGGUUGCUGAGUUUAAGAAUGUUGAGUCUGCCAAAGUCUAAUGUUCACUGGGAUGUUAGCUUAUUGAAGGAGCUGCAGCUCUUGGAGAAUCUGCAAGAUAUAGCUGGCAUAACGGGGUGGAGUUUGGUUGCGAUGGUUGCUAGUGAUAACAGAUGAGUACAGCAGAGAAGAUGGAGAUUUUGUUCAUCUGAUGAAGAAAGAGGAAGACAAGCCAAUUGAUCCAAUCUUCUGACCUUGAUAUUACAAGAGUUAAGUUUCUUAUGUUCGUUUCAAGUCUUGCCAAGUGAAGAAGGCCUUUGUUUGAAUUUCGCUGAGUAUCAGAGGGUUUUCAAGGUUGCUGAGUUUAAGAAUGUUGAGUCUGCCAAAGUCUAAUGUUCAUUGAGAUGUUAGCUUAUUGAAGGAGCUGCAGCUCUUGGAGAAUCUACAAGAUCUAGACUGGCAUAGCUGAUAUAUAUCCAGACUAUGCAAAAUGAUGGAAAUUUAUUCAUUCACAAACUCUUUUAAGAGAACCAAACCACAUGGAGAAAGAUAUCACUGCUAUCAUAUAUAUAUCAUCGCCAUCAUGUAUAAUAUUGUUUCCAAUUAUUGUUUAGUCUUCUUAAUUUCUUUUGCAGCAUUCAGUUUCCUUAUUUAUAAUGUUUUUUUGUUUGUACUUACAAGACUUUGAUAUCAGAGUGACAUAAGGGCUUAAU